rnacentral:rRNA from 1 species
UCGCACCUACCGAUUGAAUGUUUCGGUGAAAAUCUCGGACCGCGACAUCGCCGCCUCGGUGGCUUUGCUGUGGAAAGUUAUUUAAACCUCAACAUUUAGAGGAAGGUG